UACGAAGGGGGCUAGCGUUGUUCGGAAUUACUGGGCGUAAAGGGCGCGUAGGCGGCCUUGUCAGUCAGGCGUGAAAGCCCCGGGCUCAACCUGGGAACUGCGCUUGAUACUGCAAGGCUCGAGUUCCGGAGAGGAUGGUGGAAUUCCCAGUGUAGAGGUGAAAUUCGUAGAUAUUGGGAAGAACACCGGUGGCGAAGGCGGCCAUCUGGACGGACACUGACGCUGGGGCGCGAAAGCGUGGGGAGCAAAAAGG
rnacentral:rRNA from 1 species